AGCAAAGGAGAUACGCUGUCAACGCGAGCCCCGCUGCUUGCGGACCUCAGGAACCUCAAUCCUGAGUCCUGACUUGCAACUUGGCCGUGCAACUUCUGAGAGCCGCCCUCCACGAGGGGCACCCAGGCGUGUACCCAGGUGCGCAACGGCCGCAGUGCUUCCCAAACCUCACAAGCAUGGCGUGGAAGUCUGUGUUGCGUGGCCUAGCCGGUCGAACCGGAGUCUGAGCCUCCGAAGACAAUCAGUUCGUGGACUACGGGUGCAUUCUUCCCAUACAACUGCAGGUGUUGCCAGCUACUCGUGCACAUGUACUAGCUGUCCGCACUCUGCAAGUGUAGCUCCAAAUCAGGGGUGCCUUCAAAUGUCGCAGUAAUGGGCUUGGCGGUAAUGGGUGACCGCUGUGUUACAGUCCACUGGAG
rnacentral:lncRNA from 1 species